UACGUAGGGUGCAAGCGUUGUCCGGAAUUAUUGGGCGUAAAGAGCUCGUAGGCGGUUUGUCGCGUCUGCUGUGAAAACUCGAGGCUCAACCUCGAGACGUCGGUGGAAACCGUUUGGCUAGAGUCCGGAAGAGGAGAGUGGAAUUCCCGGUGUAGCGGUGAAAUGCGCAGAUAUCGGGAGGAACACCGGUGGCGAAGGCGGGUUCUCUGGGCCUGUACUGACGCUGAGGAGCGAAAGCGUGGGGGAGCGAACAGG
rnacentral:rRNA from 1 species